UCUGUGUCUGCGUCUUCAUUACUGAAGGC
rnacentral:sRNA from 1 species